rnacentral:rRNA from 1 species
AACGAACGCUGGCGGCGUGGAUAAGACAUGCAAGUCGAACGGGAUUACUUUUGGUAGCAAUACCGAAAGUAAUUCAGUGGCGAACGGGUGCGUAACACGUGGGCAAUCUGCCGAAAAGUGGGGGAUAGCUCGCCGAAAGGCGAAUUAAUACCGCAUGUGGUGAGGGACGACAUCUUCCUGAAUCCAAAGCCGGGGCAACCUGGCGCUUUUUGAGGAGCCCGCGGCCUAUCAGCUGUUGGCGGGGUAACGGCCCACCAAGGCUAUGACGGGUAGCUGGUCUGAGAGGACGACCAGUCACACUGGAACUGAGACACGGUCCAGACACCUACGGGUGGCAGCAGUCGAGAAUUUUUCUCAAUGGGGGAAACCCUGAAGGAGCGACGCCGCGUGGAGGAUGAAGGCUUUCGGGUU